GUUGUAUGGUUAAGUGACUAAGCGUACAUGGUGGAUGCCUUGGCAGUCAGAGGCGAUGAAGGACGUACUAACCUGCGAUAAGCCGUGAGCAGUCGGUAAGAGACAUUACGACUCACGGAUUUCCGAAUGGGGAAACCCACUUAGCAUAAGCUAGGUAUCGCUACGUGAAUACAUAGCGUAGCGAGGCGAACCGGGAGAACUGAAACAUCUAAGUACCCCGAGGAAAAGAAAUCAACCGAGAUUCCCUCAGUAGCGGCGAGCGAACGGGGAUUAGCCCUUAAGCAUCUUGGAAGUUAGUGGAACGGUCCUGGAAAGGCCGGCGAUACAGGGUGAUAGCCCCGUACACGAAAACAACCUUGAUGUGAAAUCGAGUAGGGCGGGACACGUGACAUCCUGUCUGAAUAUGGGGGGACCAUCCUCCAAGGCUAAAUACUCCUGACUGACCGAUAGUGAACCAGUACCGUGAGGGAAAGGCGAAAAGAACCCCUGUGAGGGGAGUGAAAUAGAACCUGAAACCGUGUACGUACAAGCAGUGGGAGCCCUUCGGGGUGACUGCGUACCUUUUGUAUAAUGGGUCAGCGACUUACAUUUUGUAGCGAGGUUAACCGUAUAGGGGAGCCGUAGGGAAACCGAGUCUUAACUGGGCGUCUAGUUGCAAGGUGUAGACCCGAAACCGGGUGAUCUAGCCAUGGGCAGGUUGAAGGUUGAGUAACAUCAACUGGAGGACCGAACCCACUAACGUUGCAAAGUUAGGGGAUGACCUGUGGCUGGGGGUGAAAGGCCAAUCAAACUCGGAGAUAGCUGGUUCUCCCCGAAAGCUAUUUAGGUAGCGCCUCGGACGAAUACUACUGGGGGUAGAGCACUGUUUGGGCUAGGGGGUCAUCCCGACUUACCAACCCCAUGCAAACUCCGAAUACCAGUAAGUAAUAUCCGGGAGACACACGGCGGGUGCUAACGUCCGUCGUGAAGAGGGAAACAACCCAGACCGCCGGCUAAGGUCCCAAAGUUCUGGUUAAGUGGGAAACGAUGUGGGAAGGCUCAGACAGCUAGGAUGUUGGCUUAGAAGCAGCCAUCAUUUAAAGAAAGCGUAAUAGCUCACUAGUCGAGUCGGCCUGCGCGGAAGAUGUAACGGGGCUCAAACCAGGCACCGAAGCCGCGGAUUCAC
rnacentral:rRNA from 1 species